ensembl:lncRNA
GCCAAACAAGGAUGGCACUCUGCAUCCCAUUUUGGAUCUCAGAGUGUUGGACCUUAUGAAUGGUGGAAAAACCUUUUCCACUAUUAAGGGAUUGUGCCUUACCUGGCACUGGGCAUGUACUCUUGUCUGUCAGGCCAGACUUGGUGCAAUUGGAUGCUUCUGCAGAAGUCAGACACGGAUGCCCUUUCCAUAUUUGUAUCUCUCCACUCAAUAGUUCAAAGAACCGGGUUUACAAAAAUAACCUAUUGUUUUGCAUGGUCUAGCACAGGGGUGCAAAUAGUUUAGUUCUAUCCCUGCUCCAACACAAAUACCAUAUCGUUUUCAAAUAAGCAUGAAGGACUUGAUGGGCUGGAUCAGGUGUGUUUAAUUAGGGUUGUACUCGGAAGUUGGAAAUUCUGAGUUCCCAGUAGGAACUUUUAACUGGAAUGCCAAGUUGGAGUUGUGACUCGGAAUCUCGGAUGAAUUGCAACAACUCCAACUUCAGAAUCCAAUAUGGCUGCUCAUAUUGGUGAUGAUUGGUCACAUAUGUGCUAAGCAGUCCAAUCAUUUUUCUCUCAUUUCAUGCAAAAUUCAUAAAGUAAUUGACACAGACUGCUAUGACUUUGAGUCAUCCAAUAAAACGCUCAAAUCUGCAAAGCAAGCCACAUCACAGAACAAGGAGAGUUUGUAAAUGAACUGCAUGCAUAAGAGUUGCAUUACCAUUUAUUUUAGCCAUUUGAGACAGAAAACAUCAUACUAAAGUAAUGACUGUAUGUAUGUGUGUACUGUAAAUGAUGGCGAAAUAGCUCCGCCCACUGGAGAGUCUCCACGCCCCUCCCACCGCGCAGCAGAACCCGCCCUAAAGGACACUGUGCGCUCCGGUAGAGAAACACUUAACACUUCCAAGACACGGGCUGCUCUGGAAUUUUCUCUGGCGCAUUUCACGAGUCCUUACAUAUGAGAAGAUGCAUUCGGAGAACCUUGAGACAGCGGUCUCGCUGAGGAAACGGACGCUGUCCCGGGGGAUGAGCGAGGACGAGUCUCUGCGACACAUUAUCAGAGACGCGGAAGAAUCGAGCAGACAGCUGUCACGCAGCGAUAGCAGAUAUGGAUCGUUAAAACGAGGACAAAGACAAGAAAGCCAUAGUGAAGCUGAUUUACUUUCUGAAAACAUAGAAACUAUGGAGCUGAGAGCGAGCUACGAGGACUGUCUGCAGGAGGUGCGGAGCCUGGAGCUGCAGCAGGAGGCUCUUCUGUUCCAGGUGGACUGUCUUCAGGACGCCCUCGAGGGCGCCGAGGAGAUGCUCGCUGAGACCCAGAGAGACAAUCACAGUCUCACCAUGGAACUGGAGCGAGAACGAGGGAAGAGGAGGACGUCGGAGGACAAGCUUGCCUCAUUAAAGCGGGAGCUGGAGAGGUUACGAGAGGACAGAAACAGUGAGCAGCUUCAGUGGAGCGAGGGGACGUCAGUGGACUGGGACGAUCAGCCGCUCGCUCACAGUGAAGGCUCUGCAGUGGAUCUGAACACAAGCCAGCUCUUACAACUCAAGAAAGUCAGCAACCAAACAUUAAGUCUGUCAGUGUUUCACAGUCAGAAGCACGAAGCUCAGGGUUCAGAUGAUAACGAUGAAAGCAGCGGCUAUGAAGAUGCUCCGUCUGAGUUCUCCCCCAGUCCUUCCACUCCGGACGCAGCUGAUGAAGAGGGCGGCGGGACCUAUGACUCAGAGCCUGGGAUCCCUAAAAGUGCAGAUUCUUGUGCUCUCUCUUAGAUCAUUCUCAAAGUGCCGAUGAACCUAGAUUGAUUCAAUUCUCUGCUAGAAAUCUUUAUCCAAGGUUCUUUCUCUUUAACAGCCUUUGCACAAGCUAACAACUUUAAAAUGAAGACUACUUUGUUUUACCAAUCAGUCCACAAAAUGAUAUAUUAUAGUUAGACUUCUGUUCACCUUGCUAUUAAAGAUGCGCUGUCCAGCAAGUCAAGACACAAGGUAAUACUUUGUAUCUGUAUUUCAGCCUUAAUGAUAUAAAAUGUAAUUUUAGUUUUCAUAUCGUAUUAAUAAUCAAGUUACACGAAUCACUUUAAGGACAGAAUGCAGAGAGGCGUUCUUUGAAAGCUGGCGGUGUUUUCACAGGGAAUGCAUUGCUUGUGCUGGAUGACUCUGGAGAAGUCAAACUCUGAGCUGACGUGCCCUGAUCGACGAGCAGGCCCUGCACUUGCAUUUAUUCUAGAAAUACUCAACCUCGACUGAGCAGCAUGUUUCUGUGCACGUCCUCUAUACACUUUUAGGCACUUUAGACGCUUCUUAGAAGUGAUUUAUGUCGUUUUCAUUAGUGCACCAGUAGGAAAUAUCAAUUUUACAUUUCCAAACAUUCCUUUUGCAAAUCUUGUAAUAAUCCAGUGGAAUUUUUAUAUGAACAAUGAGUCCUAAAACAGAUGAUAAGAAGCUGCAAACUGCCUUAAAACUGCGCACGUGUGCCUAGGAAAAAGCUGUUUAAAGCAAAGGGUGGUUACACCAAAUAUUAUUAUUAUUUUACUUAAUUUAAAGCAGCUGCAUGUAAUUUUGUGUAUUUUUGUGACUUUGGGGCCCCCUACAGUAAAAUGAAUACUCCAUCCCAAAAUGAAAAUUUUGUCAUUAAUCACUUACCCCCAUGUCGUUCCAAACCUGUAAAAGCUCCGUUCAUCUUCUGAACACAAUUUAAGAUAUUUUGGAUAAAAACCGGGAGGCUUGUGACUGUCCCAUAGACUGACAAAUAAAUAACAGUGUCAAGGUCCA